GGAGGCGUGGCGCAAUGGCAACGCAUGUGAUUCCAGCUUUAGUCAGUCCCUUCAGCUUCCACAAGAUCGCCGGUUCGAUUCCGGUCGCCUUCA